rnacentral:rRNA from 1 species
AUUGAACGCUGGCGGAAUGCUUUACACAUGCAAGUCGAACGGCAGCACGGACUUCGGUCUGGUGGCGAGUGGCGAACGGGUGAGUAAUGUAUCGGAACGUGCCCAGUCGUGGGGGAUAACGUAGUGAAAAUUACGCUAAUACCGCACACGAUCUACGGAUGAAAGCGGGGGAUCGCAAGACCUCGCGCGAUUGGAGCGGCUGAUAUCAGAUUAGGCAGUUGGUGGGGUAAGGGCCCACCAAGCCAACGAUCUGUAGCUGGCCUGAGAGGACGACCAGCCACACUGGAACUGAGACACGGUCCAGACUCCUACGGGAGGCAGCAGUGGGGAAUUUUGGACAAUGGGCGAAAGCCUGAUCCAGCCAUGCCGCGUGCAGGAUGAAGGCCCUCGGGUUGUAAACUGCUUUUGUACAGAACGAAAAGGUUUCUACUAAUACUAGGAGCUCAUGACGGUACUGUAAGAAUAAGCACCGGCUAACUACGUGCCAGCAGCCGCCGUAA